ensembl:lncRNA
UUCAUUGGCAAAGGGAGGCAGACAUUUAACUAUUUCUCCCUAACAUUCAUAGAUAGGUACCAAAGCACUUGAGUACCGAAUCUUAGUAGGUACAAUCCUUCCGGUUCUUACAGUUCCUAUGGGAAACUGGGGAGCUCCUAACACAGACCUUACCAGGCUGCCGAAGAAUUCCUCCUUUUUCCAUGCGUGAGGUUUUGCUGCAGGGUUAAGCUUCCGGUGCCAGACUCCCCCAAUUCUCUCAAGGAAUAACCUUCUGGUGCCCAAUUGGGCUCAACCCAGGCUCCCUUACGCAGUUCUAGCAAGAGGUGCACAGGAAGAUGUCUUUUUACCAAUAAAAAUAAAGUUCGCUUUCCGGAGGCGGGAGGGUAAGCCUUGACUGCCAGUUCUCCAAAGCAACGACGGAGUAGAAGACAGAGAAUGAUUAGAGCUCCAGAGGCGGGCGCCGGGAUGCCCGCCGGCUGGCGGCCGCAGCCCCGGCGGGAGACGAGAUCGCCGGCCCUCGCCCGCUUUCUGAUGGGGGCCGAGAGGGGAGGCGGGCCAGGAUGGCUGGCAAUCUGCGCCGCCCGGGCCAAGACCCGUAACGGACACUAAGCCGCACCGCAGUCCCCGUCUCAACCGAAAACUCGCCGGAGCGGCAGCUGGUCCUCGGGGAGCGCCGAGCGCUUGGCUCCCCCGCGCGCCCGGCUCCCGGUGCGCGCGCUGCUUCCUUGCGCGUCCCCUUCCCCUCGCGCGCCCAAUUCUGCUCGCGCGCGCCGCGUCCUCGCGGACUCGCGGGAGCCGCCCCGCGGGGAGGAAGGCGGCGCGGCGGAGGGAGGUCGGCUGCCACCGCUCUGCCUCCCUGGCCCUGAAGGCAGAGCUGGGAAGCAAACAGCGCGGCAGCUUGGCGACCCCGGGCGAGAAGGGGCGCUGGGGACCACGGAGAGUGCAG